CCUACGGGUGGCUGCAGUGAGGAAUAUUGGUCAAUGGACGCAAGUCUGAACCAGCCAUGCCGCGUGCAGGAAGACGGCUCUAUGAGUUGUAAACUGCUUUUGUACGAGGGUAAAUCCCGAUACGUGUAUCGGGUUGAAAGUAUCGUACGAAUAAGGAUCGGCUAACUCCGUGCCAGCAGCCGCGGUAAUACGGAGGAUUCAAGCGUUAUCCGGAUUUAUUGGGUUUAAAGGGUGCGUAGGUGGUUCGUUAAGUUAGAGGUGAAAUCCCGGGGCUCAACUCCGGCACUGCAAUUGAUACUGGCGGGCUAGAGUACAGUUGCGGUAGGCGGAAUGUAUGGUGUAGCGGUGAAAUGCAUAGAUAUCAUAAAGAACACCGAUUGCGAAGGCAGCUUACCAAACUACGACUGACGUUGAGGCACGAAAGCGUGGGGAGCAAACAGGAUUAGAUACCCGUGUAGUC
rnacentral:rRNA from 1 species